ensembl:processed_transcript Snhg1 small nucleolar RNA host gene 1
ACAAAAGGAUGGGUGUACGCUCUCUUUUCAGAAUGUGGUUCAUCUCAAAGCCCUUUACACUUUGGAGCCAGGCCUGUUCAAUUUUACAAAUAACACGUUUUGCUUGUAGUCAGGUAGGUAUUGAUGGUUGGUGCUUCCUUAGGGAACAUAUUUAGAUGGCCACUUAAUGAUGAACAAUGUAAAUGACAAGCAUAUGGCUGAGUUGCAAUGAUGUCAUCUUACUACUGAAAUGGGCUGAAGAAAGAAGGUGCUGAGGUGGCUGUGAUUACAUUUAAAAAUGACAUUGUUUCUCUGUUUCCAGGGUGCUGUGACAACAUGAAGAGUUCGAGCUACCUCCCAGGAUGAGUGCAGGUUUUCCUGGUGACAAAUCUCAGGCAUUCAAAGGUUCUGUUAGCAGUGCCAUACUUGUGGGUUUACAGAGAUGGUGUGUCUGGCUGAGAACAAAGGAGCCGUACCAGGAAAGUUGAAGCAUAUCUUCAUUUUCAAGUCCAGGCUAAAAUAAGGUCUGAGGAAAAGAAUGAGCUGCGUGUGAAGGAUAGGAACAGAAAUCAUGAAAGAUCUGUUUGUCCAGGCCAGUGUUUCACCAUAAGAGAUCACUUUAAAAUAAAUGAUGAAAUAAUUCUUUGCAAUUGCAAAUUUACCUUCCUUGCUUACCACAUUGUUAACUGUAGGAGCUGAUACCUGGUUCUUCCACUGUUAACUUGUACUCUGUGUUUGUUCUAGCAAUAAAUGCUCUUUAUGCUA